UACCGAGUUUACAACUCCCAAACCCAAUGUGAACGUUACCAAACUGUUGCCUCGGCGGGGUCACGCCCCGGGUGCGUAAAAGCCCCGGAACCAGGCGCCCGCCGGAGGAACCAACCAAACUCUUUCUGUAGUCCCCUCGCGGACGUAUUUCUUACAGCUCUGAGCAAAAAUUCAAAAUGAAUCAAAACUUUCAACAACGGAUCUCUUGGUUCUGGCAUCGAUGAAGAACGCAGCGAAAUGCGAUAAGUAAUGUGAAUUGCAGAAUUCAGUGAAUCAUCGAAUCUUUGAACGCACAUUGCGCCCGCCAGUAUUCUGGCGGGCAUGCCUGUCCGAGCGUCAUUUCAACCCUCGAACCCCUCCGGGGGAUCGGCGUUGGGGAUCGGGACCCCUCACCGGGUGCCGGCCCUGAAAUACAGUGGCGGUCUCGCCGCAGCCUCUCCUGCGCAGUAGUUUGCACAACUCGCACCGGGAGCGCGGCGCGUCCACGUCCGUAAAACACCCAACUUUCUGAAAUGUUGACCUCGGAUCAGGUAGGAAUACCCGCUGAACUUAAGCAUAUCAAUAAGCGGAGGAAAAGAAACCAACAGGGAUUGCCCCAGUAACGGCGAGUGAAGCGGCAACAGCUCAAAUUUGAAAUCUGGCCCCUCCGGGUCCGAGUUGUAAUUUGUAGAGGAUGCUUUUGGUGAGUGCCGCCCGAGUUCCC
rnacentral:rRNA from 1 species